UAAGCGACUAAGCGUACACGGUGGAUGCCCUGGCAGUCAGAGGCGAUGAAGGACGUGCUAAUCUGCGAUAAGCGUCGGUGAGGUGAUAUGAACCGUUAUAACCGGCGAUUUCCGAAUGGGGAAACCCAGUGUGAUUCGUCACACUAUCAUUAACUGAAUCCAUAGGUUAAUGAGGCGAACCGGGGGAACUGAAACAUCUAAGUACCCCGAGGAAAAGAAAUCAACCGAGAUUCCCCCAGUAGCGGCGAGCGAACGGGGAGGAGCCCAGAGCCUGAAUCAGUGUGUGUGUUAGUGGAAGCGUCUGGAAAGGCGUGCGAUACAGGGUGACAGCCCCGUACACAAAAAUGCACAUAUUGUGAGCUCGAUGAGUAGGGCGGGACACGUGGUAUCCUGUCUGAAUAUGGGGGGACCAUCCUCCAAGGCUAAAUACUCCUGACUGACCGAUAGUGAACCAGUACCGUGAGGGAAAGGCGAAAAGAACCCCGGCGAGGGGAGUGAAAAAGAACCUGAAACCGUGUACGUACAAGCAGUGGGAGCCUCUUAAUGGGGUGACUGCGUACCUUUUGUAUAAUGGGUCAGCGACUUAUAUUCUGUAGCAAGGUUAACCGAAUAGGGGAGCCGAAGGGAAACCGAGUCUUAACUGGGCGUUAAGUUGCAGGGUAUAGACCCGAAACCCGGUGAUCUAGCCAUGGGCAGGUUGAAGGUUGGGUAACACUAACUGGAGGACCGAACCGACUAAUGUUGAAAAAUUAGCGGAUGACUUGUGGCUGGGGGUGAAAGGCCAAUCAAACCGGGAGAUAGCUGGUUCUCCCCGAAAGCUAUUUAGGUAGCGCCUCGUGAAUUCAUCUCCGGGGGUAGAGCACUGUUUCGGCAAGGGGGUCAUCCCGACUUACCAACCCGAUGCAAACUGCGAAUACCGGAGAAUGUUAUCACGGGAGACACACGGCGGGUGCUAACGUCCGUCGUGAAGAGGGAAACAACCCAGACCGCCAGCUAAGGUCCCAAAGUCAUGGUUAAGUGGGAAACGAUGUGGGAAGGCCCGAGACAGCCAGGAUGUUGGCUUAGAAGCAGCCAUCAUUUAAAGAAAGCGUAAUAGCUCACUGGUCGAGUCGGCCUGCGCGGAAGAUGUAACGGGGCUAAACCAUGCACCGAAGCUGCGGCAGCGACACUAUGUGUUGUUGGGUAGGGGAGCGUUCUGUAAGCCUGUGAAGGUGGCCUGUGAGGGUUGCUGGAGGUAUCAGAAGUGCGAAUGCUGACAUAAGUAACGAUAAAGCGGGUGAAAAGCCCGCUCGCCGGAAGACCAAGGGUUCCUGUCCAACGUUAAUCGGGGCAGGGUGAGUCGACCCCUAAGGCGAGGCCGAAAGGCGUAGUCGAUGGGAAACAGGUUAAUAUUCCUGUACUUGGUGUUACUGCGAAGGGGGGACGGAGAAGGCUAUGUUGGCCGGGCGACGGUUGUCCCGGUUUAAGCGUGUAGGCUGGUUUUCCAGGCAAAUCCGGAAAACCAAGGCUGAGGCGUGAUGACGAGGCACUACGGUGCUGAAGUGACAAAUGCCCUGCUUCCAGGAAAAGCCUCUAAGCAUCAGGUAACAUCAAAUCGUACCCCAAACCGACACAGGUGGUCAGGUAGAGAAUACCAAGGCGCUUGAGAGAACUCGGGUGAAGGAACUAGGCAAAAUGGUGCCGUAACUUCGGGAGAAGGCACGCUGAUAUGUAGGUGAAGCGACUUGCUCGUGGAGCUGAAAUCAGUCGAAGAUACCAGCUGGCUGCAACUGUUUAUUAAAAACACAGCACUGUGCAAACACGAAAGUGGACGUAUACGGUGUGACGCCUGCCCGGUGCCGGAAGGUUAAUUGAUGGGGUUAGCGGCAACGCGAAGCUCUUGAUCGAAGCCCCGGUAAACGGCGGCCGUAACUAUAACGGUCCUAAGGUAGCGAAAUUCCUUGUCGGGUAAGUUCCGACCUGCACGAAUGGCGUAAUGAUGGCCAGGCUGUCUCCACCCGAGACUCAGUGAAAUUGAACUCGCUGUGAAGAUGCAGUGUACCCGCGGCAAGACGGAAAGACCCCGUGAACCUUUACUAUAGCUUGACACUGAACAUUGAGCCUUGAUGUGUAGGAUAGGUGGGAGGCUUUGAAGUGUGGACGCCAGUCUGCAUGGAGCCGGCCUUGAAAUACCACCCUUUAAUGUUUGAUGUUCUAACGUGGGCCCGUUAUCCGGGUUGCGGACAGUGUCUGGUGGGUAGUUUGACUGGGGCGGUCUCCUCCUAAAGAGUAACGGAGGAGCACGAAGGUUGGCUAAUCCUGGUCGGACAUCAGGAGGUUAGUGCAAUGGCAUAAGCCAGCUUGACUGCGAGCGUGACGGCGCGAGCAGGUGCGAAAGCAGGUCAUAGUGAUCCGGUGGUUCUGAAUGGAAGGGCCAUCGCUCAACGGAUAAAAGGUACUCCGGGGAUAACAGGCUGAUACCGCCCAAGAGUUCAUAUCGACGGCGGUGUUUGGCACCUCGAUGUCGGCUCAUCACAUCCUGGGGCUGAAGUAGGUCCCAAGGGUAUGGCUGUUCGCCAUUUAAAGUGGUACGCGAGCUGGGUUUAGAACGUCGUGAGACAGUUCGGUCCCUAUCUGCCGUGGGCGCUGGAGAACUGAGGGGGGCUGCUCCUAGUACGAGAGGACCGGAGUGGACGCAUCACUGGUGUUCGGGUUGUCAUGCCAAUGGCACUGCCCGGUAGCUAAAUGCGGAAGAGAUAAGUGCUGAAAGCAUCUAAGCACGAAACUUGCCCCGAGAUGAGUUCUCCCUGACCCUUUAAGGGUCCUGAAGGAACGUUGAAGACGACGACGUUGAUAGGCCGGGUGUGUAAGCGCAGCGAUGCGUUGAGCUAACCGGUACUAAUGAACCGUGAGGCUUAACCU
rnacentral:rRNA from 1 species